rnacentral:rRNA from 1 species
GGGAUACCGAUUGGAAACGAUCGUUAAUACCGCAUAACAUAAUUGAACCGCAUGAUUUGAUUAUCAAAGAUUUAUCGCUGAAAGAUGAGCUCGCGUCUGAUUAGCUAGUUGGUAAGGUAACGGCUUACCAAGGCGACGAUCAGUAGCCGGACUGAGAGGUUGAUCGGCCACAUUGGGACUGAGACACGGCCCAGACUCCUACGGGAGGCAGCAGUGGGGAAUAUUGCACAAUGGAGGAAACUCUGAUGCAGCGAUGCCGCGUGAGGGAAGAAGGUUUUAGGAUUGUAAACCUCUGUCUUCAGGGACGAAAAAUGACGGUACCUGAGGAGGAAGCUCCGGCUAACUACGUGCCAGCAGCCGCGGUAAUACGUAGGGAGCGAGCGUUGUCCGGAAUUACUGGGUGUAAAGGGAGCGUAGGCGGGAUCGCAAGUCAGAUGUGAAAACUAUGGGCUUAACCCAUAAACUGCAUUUGAAACUGUGGUUCUUGAGUGAAGUAGAGGUAAGCGGAAUUCCUAGUGUAGCGGUGAAAUGCGUAGAUAUUAGGAGGAACAUCAGUGGCGAAGGCGGCUUACUGGGCUUUAACUGACGCUGAGGCUCGAAAGCGUGGGGAGCAAACAGGAUUAGAUACCCUGGUAGUCCACGCCGUAAACGAUGAUUACUAGGUGUGGGGGGACUGACCCCUUCCGUGCCGCAG